CAGUCGCCACGGUAAUACGUAGGUGGCAAGCGUUGUCCGGAAUUAUUGGGCGUAAAGGGCUCGCAGGCGGUUUCUUAAGUCUGAUGUGAAAGCCCCCGGCUCAACCGGGGAGGGUCAUUGGAAACUGGGAAACUUGAGUGCAGAAGGGGAGAGUGGAAUUCCACGUGUAGCGGUGAAAUGCGUAGAGAUGUGGAGGAACACCAGUGGCGAAGGCGACUCUCUGGUCUGUAACUGACGCUGAGGAGCGAAAGCGUGGGGAGCGAACAGGAUUAGAUACCCCAGUAGUCCCUGUCUCUUAUAU
rnacentral:rRNA from 1 species